AUCCAGCUGAUGAGUCCCAAACAGGACGAAACGCGCGCCUUGGAU
rnacentral:hammerhead_ribozyme from 1 species